rnacentral:misc_RNA from 1 species
AUAAGAUUAAAAACAUCACCAAUUCACAAGAACAUGAUUGAUUGUUAUUCAAGACAAUACUGAUAAAAGAAAUUACGCGCAUAGCUUGUUGUUUCAAGUGUUAAAACACUUAAGCAAGAAUUUCCUCAAUGGGCUUGGACUCCAACUUGGCCUCUUCAGUUUGUAUCUUCUCUUCCUUGGCCAGUUUCUUCAGCCUAGCUAGCUCAAGAUCCUUACUCAUUUUCCUCCUGUACAUUUCUGCAAAUGUAAUCGGCUCAUCCAUUAUUGACUUCUCUCCUUCUCUAAUUUUUAACGGAUACACUUUUGCAUCUGGUGCUGGAUUCUGGAAUGUGGCUAUCGAUAAUCUACUGCUAUUCGAAUUCACCACUGCUUGAUGAUCAGCAUUCUUGAACCUUCCAUUGCUCAAAUAAUGACCGUGAUCGCCAAGAUUAACCACAAAAGCACCUUCAACGGGCUGAACAGUGAUCCAUGUUUUGCCAUUAUCUUUAGUGGCUUGAAGCCCACCAACUUGGUCUUGUAACAAUAAGGUAAUGGUUCCUGGAUCGGUGUGUCGUUUGAGCCCAAGAGUAAGGUCAGGCUCUGGACACUUUGGGUAAAAAUUCACAACUACUUUUUGGUCCAUAUCGACACAUGCCUUG